rnacentral:rRNA from 1 species
GACGAACGCUGGCGGCGUGCUUAACACAUGCAAGUCGAACGGAAAGGCCCUGCUUUUGUGGGGUGCUCGAGUGGCGAACGGGUGAGUAACACGUGAGUAACCUGCCCUUGACUUUAGGAUAACUUCAGGAAACUGGGGCUAAUACCGGAUAGGAGCUCCUGCUGCAUGGUGGGGGUUGGAAAGUUUCGGCGGUUGGUGAUGGACUCGCGGCUUAUCAGCUUGUUGGUGGGGUAGUGGGUGACCAAGGCUUGGAAGGGUAGCCGGCCUGAGCGGGUGACCGGCCACAUUGGGACUGAGAUACGGCCCAGCCUACUACGGGACGCAGCAGUGGGGAAGAGUGCACAAUGGGCGGAAGCCUGAUGCAGCAACGCCGCGUGGGGGAUGACGGCCUUCGGGUUGUAAAGCGCUUUCGCCUGUGACGAAGCGUGAGUGACGGUAAUGGGUAAAGAAGCACCGGCUAACUACGUG